rnacentral:rRNA from 1 species
GACGAACGCUGGCGGCGUGCUUAACACAUGCAAGUCGAACGGAAAGGCCCUGCUUUUGUGGGGUGCCCGAGUGGCGAACGGGUGAGUAACACGUGAGUAACCUGCCCUUCACUUUGGGAUAACUUCAGGAAACUGAGGCUAAUACCGGAUAGCAUCUCCUGCUGCAUGGUGAGGGGUGGAAAGUUUCGGCGGUUGGGGAUGGACGCGCGGCUUAUCAGCUUGUUGGUGGGGUAGUGGCUUACCAAGGCAUUGACGGGUAGCCGGCAUGGGAGGGUGACCGGCGACAUUGGGACUGAGAUACGGACCAGAGUCCUACGGGAGGCAGCAGUGGGGAAUAUUGCCCAAUGGGCGGAAGCCUGAUGAAGAAACGCCGCGUGCGGGAUGACGGCCUUCGGGUUGUAAAACGCUUUCGCCUGUGACGAAGCGUGAGUGACGGUAAUGGGUAAAGAAGCACCGGCUAACUACGUG